AUUCAUAUUCCGAGCUCAUCUGCUUCCCUGUAUGCAUCAUCAAUAAGCAUUUACCCUUCCUGCUGGCCUCUAGUGGAUGAGAGAUGAGAGAGAAAGAUGUCGAGAUGCUUCCAAUGGAGAGAGAAAUGAAAAGUAAUGUGAAAGUCGGCCCAGGCAGGAAAUGAAUGAGCGGCAACAGGAACUCAUUGAUGGGAGAGGAAAAAGGGGCAUCCAUAAAACGAUCUGAGUGCAUUACCCUGAUUGCAACACUUAAUGGAGUCACAUUCUUUCCCAUGGGUGACCACCAUCUCAACAAAUCCACAUGAGGGCAAAGGUCAGGGUGAAUGUCACUUCCAUGACUGUCUUAAAAGCUCGGCUGCAUCCUAAGAGCGAGCUAAUGGAUAUCUGGAGUUUGUAUAGGAGUCUGAGCCAAUAAAUAUGUCACAAUGUCAUGUCA
ensembl:lncRNA